AUUGAACGCUGGCGGCAUGCCUAACACAUGCAAGUCGAACGGAGGGCUUCGGCCCUCAGUGGCGGACGGGUGAGUAACGCGUAGGGAUCUGCCCUGCAGUGGGGGACAACCUGGGGAAACUCAGGCUAAUACCGCAUACGCUCCAUGGAGGAAAGCGGGGGACCUUCGGGCCUCGCGCUGCGGGAUGAACCUACGUCCGAUUAGCUAGUUGGUGGGGUAACGGCCCACCAAGGCGACGAUCGGUAGCUGGUCUGAGAGGACGGCCAGCCACACUGGGACUGAGACACGGCCCAGACUCCUACGGGAGGCAGCAGUGGGGAAUAUUGGACAAUGGGCGCAAGCCUGAUCCAGCAAUGCCGCGUGGGUGAAGACGGCCUGCGGGUUGUAA
rnacentral:rRNA from 1 species